AUUGGAAUUGUAGCUAAACCAUCUGCUGAAUUUGUUUCUGCUGUUUUGGGUACCUGGCUUAGUGGUGGAGUGGCAGUUCCUCUAGCACUUAGCUAUCCAGAGGCAGAGCUCUUACAUGUGAUGAAUGAUUCGGAUGUUUCUGUGCUCUUAAGCACUCAAGACCAUCAGGAAGUUAUGGAGAGUGUGGCUGUUAAAUCUUCCGCUCAUCUGUCUCUUAUCCCCACUGUUACCAGCAUUUCAUCAAAAACGGAUUUGCAAGACCAUCCAGGGAGUGGGGUUUCUGAUGUUCUUACUAAGUUGGUUGCAGAUAGUGAAGAUUCAAGAAUGGCUGAAGGGGAUGACCCUGCUUUGAUUUUAUAUACCAG
rnacentral:misc_RNA from 1 species